AACGAACGCUGGCGGCAGGCUUAACACAUGCAAGUCGAACGCAUCCUUCGGGGUGAGUGGCAGACGGGUGAGUAACGCGUGGGAACGUGCCCUUCAGUUCGGGAUAACCCAGGGAAACUUGGGCUAAUACCGGAUACGUGCGAGAGCGGAAAGAUUUAUCGCUGAAGGAUCGGCCCGCGUCUGAUUAGCUAGUUGGUGGGGGAAUGGCCCACCAAGGCGACGAUCCGUAGCUGGUCUGAGAGGAUGAUCAGCCACAUUGGGACUGAGACACGGCCCAACCUCCGACGGGAGGCAGCAGUGGGGAAUAUUGGACAAUGGGCGCAAGCCUGAUCCAGCCAUGCCGCGUGAGUGAUGAAGGCCUUAGGGUUGUAAAGCUCUUUCGUCCGGGACGAUAAUGACGGUACCGGAAGAAGAAGCCCCGGCUAACUUCGUGCCAGCCGCCGCCGUAAAAC
rnacentral:rRNA from 1 species